GUGAUUCGGGGUGCAGCAGGCGCGAAACCUUUGCAAUACACGAAAGUGCGACAGGGUCAUCCCGAGUGCCGACCGCUGAGGUUGGCUUUUACCCAGUCUAGAAAGCUGGGGGAAUAAGGAGAGGGCAAGUCUGGUGUCAGCCGCCGCGGUAAUACCAGCUCUCCGAGUGGUGUGGACGUUUAUUGGGCCUAAAGCAUCCGUAGCUGGCUGAACAAGUCCCCUGUUAAACCCACCGAUUUAAUCGUUGGCUUGCGGGGGAUACUGCUCGGCUAGGGGACGAGAGAGGCAGACGGUAUUCCCGGGGUAGGGGUGAAAUCCUAUAAUCCCGAGAAGACCACCAGUGGCGAAGGCUGUCUGCUAGAACGCGCCCGACGGUGAGGGAUGAAAGCUGGGGGAGCGAACCGGAUUAGAUACCCGGGUAGUCCCAGCUGUAAACGAUGCAGACUAGGUGUUUGGACGGCCACGUGCCGUUCUAGUGCCGCAGGGAAGCUGUUAAGUCUGCCGCCUGGGGAGUACGAUCGCAAGAUUGAAACUUAAAGGAAUUGGCGGGGGAGCACAAUCGAAU
rnacentral:rRNA from 1 species